CAUCAGCCUGCUUGCGGCAUUCGGUUGCGAAACCCCGUCAGGUCCGGAAGGAAGCAGCGGCAGUAGCCGACAUGGGCGCUGAGUCUCGGCUGGGGCAC
rnacentral:SRP_RNA from 1 species